ensembl:ncRNA F58A6.12 ncRNA
AGCAUGCUUAACAUGAAUAAGUAUGUAGAAGGACACCGGGAAAGUUGUAAAUCAGCCGCCUGGCGGGUCGAAAAGAGAGAAAAGUGGACACGGAUGGGACGGAAAAGAACGUGUUUUUUGCAGCUUUUGCCCUCCGUUCACGUAAGC